rnacentral:rRNA from 1 species
CGGGUGCACUGAUCCAGCCGGGCCUUUCCCUCUGUGGAACCCCAUGGCCUUCACUGGCUGUGGUGGGGAAACAGGACUUUUACUUUGAAAAAAUUAGAGUGCUCCAGGCAGGCCUAUGCUCGAAUACAUUAGCAUGGAAUAAUAGAAUAGGACGUGUGGUUCUAUUUUGUUGGUUUCUAGGACCGCCGUAAUGAUUAAUAGGGACAGUCGGGGGCAUCAGUAUUCAAUUGUCAGAGGUGAAAUUCUUGGAUCUAUUGAAGACUAACUACUGCGAAAGCAUCUGCCAAGGAUGUUUUCAUUGAUAAGGAACGAAAGUUAGGGGAUCGAAGACGAUCAGAUACCGUCGUAGUCUUAACUAUAAACUAUGCCGACUAGGGAUCGGACGAUGUUAUUCUUUGACGCGUUCGGCACCUUUCGAGAAAUCAAAGUGCUUGGGCUCCAGGGGGAGUAUGGUCGCAAGGCUGAAACUUAAAGAAAUUGACGGAAGGGCACCACCAGGGGUGGAACCUGCGGCUUAAUUUGACUCAACACGGGGAAACUCACCAGGUCCAGACACAGUGAGGAUUGACAGAUUGAGAGCUCUUUCUUGAUUCUGUGGGUGGUGGUGCAUGGCCGUUCUUAGUUGGUGGAGUGAUUUGUCUGCUUAAUUGCGAUAACGAACGAGACCUUAACCUGCUAAAUAGCCCGUACUGCUUUGGCAGUUCGCCGGCUUCUUAGAGGGACUAUCGG